GAUGAACGCUGGCGGCAUGCCUAACACAUGCAAGUCGAGCGAACAGAUGAGGUUCUUGCUCCUCUGACGUGAGCGGCGGACGGGAGAGUAACAUGGGGAUAACCUAACUAGCAGACCAGGAUAACUUCGCCAAACCGGAGCUAAUACCGGAAAAUAUAUUGAACCUGAUGGGGCAAUAGCGUAUGACGCGCUUGCUGUCGCUUCAAGAGGGUCCCCCGCCGCAUCAGAGUGUUGGAAAGGUAACGGGUUACCAAGGCAACGAAGCGUAGACGACCCGAGGGGGUGAUCGGACGGUCUGGAACAGAGACACGAUCCAGACUCCGACGGGGAGCAGCAGUAGAGAAUCUUCCGCGAUGGGCGAGAGGCUGACGGAGCAACGGCGCGUGAGUGAUGAAGGUCUUAGGAUCGGAAAGCUCUGUUAUUAGGGAAGAACAAAUGUGUGAGUAACUAUGCAGGUAAUGACGGUACCUGAUCAAAAAGCCACGGCUAACUCCGUG
rnacentral:rRNA from 1 species